rnacentral:rRNA from 1 species
GACGAACGCUGGCGGCGUGCUUAACACAUGCAAGUCGAGCGGUAAGGCCCUUUCGGGGGUACACGAGCGGCGAACGGGUGAGUAACACGUGGGUGACCUGCCCUCAGCUCUGGGAUAAGCCUGGGAAACCGGGUCUAAUACCGGAUAUGACUCCAUGACGCAUGUUGUGGGGUGGAAAGCCUUGUGCGGCUGAGGAUGGGCCCGCGGCCUAUCAGCUUGUUGGUGGGGUGAGGCCUACCAAGGCGACGACGGGUAGCCGGCCUGAGAGGGCGACCGGCCACACUGGGACUGAGACACGGCCCAGACUCCUACGGGAGGGCAGCAGUGGGGAAUCUUGCGCAAUGGGCGAAAGCCUGACGCAGCGACGCCGCGUGAGGGAUGAC